GCCGCAGUGGCUCAGGUUGCCCUGACUACAUGCUGCUGUCACAGAGUGGGCAACACCUGCUGCCGUGAUGGCGUAGUGAUGGAGCUAAACUCUGCUGGAGCAGGAUUGAGCACGCCUGAUCUCAAGAAUGAUGCAAGGAGACUAAACUGACCCCUGCUGGUCGGCCUUCACGAAAAGACCACGGAGGGCCACACUCUCAUGGAAACAAUUCAAAGCACAGCUCACGGGGCUGCACCUACUGACCUACUCUCAGCUCUUGCCCAAAGACGGUCCUCUCGCCAAGGGCAGAGCAGUUCCACCGUCCGUAGCGAAACUGGUACUGGCACUCGUUGAUGCCCAGCUGAGCGCCCUCUCCAAUGACGAU